CUCAGAUAAUUAUGGUUAAAAUACGUUCCUGUCCCUUUAAGUUCUGUUUAGAGUUGGACGCAUGCUCAUUACAAGAGUGAUGACGUCAUCGUGUUGCUGCACGGCACCUGCCUGUCUGCUUUCCUCCGUGCGUGUGAGAGUGCCGCUGCGUGGCAGGUUGAAAUGAAGAAGUUUUUUCUUGGAGUUUAGUGUGCGUUGAUGACAAAAGACCACACACCUACAUGUGUUCAUCCACCUAUGGAAAUUUACCUGCCUCUGUAUGUCAAACCAAAGGAUGUAAAGCCUGAAGCGUGGAUUAUAAUUAUUGAAGCCAACCUCCUGCCUGCUGUCAUUUAUUCCACGCACCCACUAACAGAAACCGCCUCAUCCAGGCCUUGAAGUAGUGUUCUGGCCGACACUCCUGGUUCGAGAGUGGUGUCACCCACCAACAGUUUUUGAACCCAGAUCCUCGUUUACAAUCAUCCAUGUCACAGUUACCCAUGAUCAAAUAACAUGUACUGUGCUCUGAAAUAAAUGAGACAUAUUGGAAGUCCUAUAUUGUUAUUUGAUGUACAAAUGUAUUCAUUUAUACUGCAUGUCUGUUCAUUCCAUAAUAAACUACCAGAAAUAUCGUGUUUUGUCUGAAAUAUAAUCUAUCAGACAGAUUCUAAAAGUGAGAUUUAACACUGACAGAGUGUUUUGUGUUGUUGAAGAUGACAUGGAAUCAGAAAUGAAGAAACUCCACGUAAAAUAACAUCUGGUCCUGUCAACUCUUUCUGAAGUUGCUUCAUUUAAGCUCGCUGGGCGUGUGAACCGCAAACUAGGAUGUAAACGCACAUGCAAGAAGUCAGUGACGGCUAGCGAGAGGCCGCACUUCCGCAGAUGUCUGCUCACUUGACCGCGGGCCGUUGUUAUGCAUACCAUAACAAAAAAGGCAGGAAUACUGAGGCAGCUACGAUGUGGAUGUCUACAACUUCUUGAAGAUGCAGGCCCCAAAGACGUCCCCGGUGUGAUGCAAAGGCUGUCCAGCAGUAGAUGUCCGUCAGGGUGGGAAGAGGGCACCCAAUGAUUUUCUGCUUGUGUUGCAUGUCAGCGCGCCAAAGUUCACCGGCACACAAAAGCCCCCCUGGAACCUUUCCCGAUCCCGGCCAAGCGUUUUGACCACGUUCACGUGGAUUUGGUUGGCCCACUGCCUCCCUCGAAGGGUUUCACACAUUUAUUAACAAUGGUGGAUCGGACCACCAGGGGGCCUGAGGUAGUUCCUCUGUCCUCCACUGCAUCUGCUGAUGUAGUCAGUGCUUUUCUCUCUGCCUGGGUUGCCCGUCAGACUUUACUUCAGAAAAGGGCCCCCAGUUCACUUCGGAGCUUUGGUCAAGAAUGGCGCGAUCUUUAGGGGUGCAGGUGCACCGUACUGCGGCUUAUCACCCUCAAGCGAACGGGUUGUGUGAGCGUUUCCACCGUUCUCUUAAGGCUGCCCUCCGUGCAGCGCUCACUGAUGACUGUUGGUUGGAUCGUUUGCCGUGGGUCCUACUAGGGCUACGCUCAGCUCCUAAGACCGACCUAGACGCGUCCUCCGCUGAGUUAGUGUUUGGACAGCCGCUCCGAAUUCCAGGGGAGUUUUUAUUAGAGUCGUCUGCCCCGGGCCCCCGAUUACCGUAGGCACCUGGCCCCGUGCACCACUGCGUCCCACGGUCAUUUAUGCCUGCAUCGCUCCAGUCAGCCCAGUUUGUUUUUGUCCGACAUGACGCCCACCGCUCGCCCCUUCAUCCUCCCUACGAUGGUCCGUUUCGUGUCAUGGAGAAGGGGGACAAAUGUUUUGUCCUGGACAUGGGUGGGCGCAGAGACUUUGUGACAGUGGACCGGCUGAAACCAGCGUUUGUGUUGACAGUUCCUCGCCGGGGACGUCCUCCUUCCAGACCCCCAGAUCUGCCACGCUCUGCAGACAGUGUCCCACAGUUGGCUCCACAGGCUGCAGGUCGGCAUAGCCGUUUUGGCAGACUCAUUAAACGCCCUUGCAGAAUGGGUUUUGACGGUUGAGUUCCUUUCUGGGUGUUCGGGGGGGGGGCAGUUGCUAGUGUUCAUAUGUAAGAUGAUUUGCCUGCUUUAUUUCAGUUGUUGGCAUAUGAGUGAAUAAAGUUUCACAUAUCGAAGUCAA